CGGAAAAAACCUUGGUGCUAUAAAAAAUUUUAGGUUGUGUUUGCUAAUAUUUUGUUGUGCGUUUUUGUGUCUUACUUAAUGAGGGAUAUUGGUCUAUUUUUUGUUUUUGUUUUUACACUACUUUUGUCUGGUUUUUGUAUCAAGGUAAUUCUUGCUGCAUAAAAUUAAUUAGGAAGUGUUCCCUUAUCUUCUAUUUUCUGAAAUGGAUUGUUCAAAAUUGGCGUUAAUUUUUUCUAAAUGUUUGGUGAAAUUCUCUAGUGAAACCAUCUGGGCAUGGUUAUUUUAUUUUAUGGAACUUUAAGUGUUAGCUCCAACUUCUUUAACAGUUGCAGUGCUAUUCAGAACAUAAAUUUUAUACUGGAUAAGUUGUGGAAGUUUGUGGUUUUUGAGGUGUUAGUUCUUUUCUUCUAGGUUGGGUUAUAUUUAUAAGCAUAAAUUUAUUCCUA
rnacentral:lncRNA from 10 species